UACGGAGGGUGCAAGCGUUGCUCGGAAUUACUGGGCGUAAAGGGCGCGUAGGCGGUUUCGCAAGUCUGGCGGGAAAGCCCCGGGCUCACCCCGGGAAGUGCGUGGGAAACUGCGUGUCUAGAGUCCCGGAGAGGGGGGUGGAAUUCCAGGUGUAGCGGUGAAAUGCGUAGAUAUUGGGAAGAACACCGGUGGCGAAGGCGGCCAUCUGGCCCGUAACUGACGCUGAGACGCGAAAGCGUGGGGAGCAAACAGG
rnacentral:rRNA from 1 species